UACUCUUUUAUUCAUAAAAUAGCAUGGUGACAGGACCCAUGGGCAGUGAAGGGCUGCUGCAUGGGGACAGGACCCACGGGCAGUGAAGGGCUGCAGCGUGGGGACAGGACCCACGGGCAGUGAAGGGCUGCAGCGUGGGGACAGGACCCACGGGCAGUGAAGGGCUGCAGCGUGGGGACAGGACCCACGGGCAGUGAAGGGCUGCAGCGUGGGGACAGGACCCACGGGCAGUGAAGGGCUGCAGCGUGGGGACAGGACCCACGGGCAGUGAAGAGGUGCAAGGGGCUGAAGGGAAGAAAGACAUCAUCAGAGGAAGACUGACAUAUUGAGUCUGGAAACUGCUUCGUCUUUUUCAUUACAUCAAUAACUGAUUGCAGAAUCUGUCUCCCUGUGAGCCCAGGUGCAACCUCAUGGUGGUGUUCUCCUUGCCUUUCUUCUUCUUCCUCUUCCCCUUCCUCCUUCUUCUAAAUAAAAUACUCUGAACAACUGCUGCCAUGGUCCCCCACUAGGCUCAGACAUCAGGCAUUGAUUUUAGCUGUUCAGCCUCAUUCAAUAGCAAUCUGAUUGUCAAAUUAAAAUGAUGUCGCAGAGAUGUGCAAGAAGCCUGAAGAUUUAACAGUAGAUCUUUCUCAGCUUAGCUCAAGAUCCACCAGAGGAGAGAUCCCCAC
rnacentral:lncRNA from 1 species